CGAAAGCCUGACGGAGCAAGACCGCGUGAGGGAGGAAGGCCCUUGGGUUGUAAACCUCUUUUCUCAGGGAAGAAACCUGACGGUACCUGAGGAAAAAGCCUCGGCUAACUCCGUGCCAGCAGCCGCGGUAAUACGGAGGAGGCAAGCGUUAUCCGGAAUUACUGGGCGUAAAGCGUCCGUAGGGGGCUCGUCAAGUCUGCUGUCAAAGCUCGGAGCUCAACUCCGACCCGGCAUUGGAAACUGGGGAGCUAGAGGGCGGCAGGGGCAGAAGGAAUUCCCGGUGUAGCGGUGAAAUGCGUAGAUAUCGGGAAGAACACCAGAGGCGAAAGCGCUUUGCUGGACCGAACCUGACGCUGAGGGACGAAAGCUAGGGGAGCG
rnacentral:rRNA from 1 species